ensembl:lncRNA
CUGCAGCCUCACACACGUCUGUCUCACUGUGUUUUACCCCCAUCCACCUUCCUUCCUUCCCUCUGUGUUCUGUUCUUUUUUCUCUCUCUCUCUCUCUCUCUCUCUCUAACCGAUUUUCGUACACAUCAGCAAGAGCCCCCGCUCUUUCAAUCUUUUCUCUCCGUCUCAUUCAUUCAGUUGUAUUUCCCUGUCAACUUCAGAACCGAUCGAUCACAUUGAUCAGUCACAAUGAAGGCCAAUAUCACCCUGGCGCUGAGCAUGCUCUCCCUGGUCCUCUUGAUCUUCGUCCAUGAAGCCACGCCUGUCUCAAAUGGAGCUUUCAACGAGAACACACAAACUGAAAAGACGAACAUGAGAGGUGGACUUUUAAAUGAUACCAGGAACUCCACUGACCAAUCCACACCUGAGAAGCAUGACAGAGGAAUGCAUGGUAAUCAUUCUGGCAUGACAAUAGCCCCCCCGAAUGGUACACCCACAUCCACAGAGAGUCAGACAUCUGCAACAUCAGGAAACACAACCCAGCAGACUGAAAAGACCACAUCCCCCUCACUCACUAAACAGACAAUCCCUACGUCUCUUCCCAAGACCUCCCCCAGCACCUCAACCAAUCCAUCCCAUAAUAAACCCUCACCUGCUCUGUUAAAUACGGGGUUCAUCGUGGUCCUGGUCAUCAUUCUUCUCCUAGCGAUUACCGUGCUGUGCUUCUACAAGUGGAACAGCCGCCACUCAGGCCAGGAUGGCUCCGCCCCUCGGCUGUUAUUGGGCGUCAGGGAGCGCAUGAGGGGCAGGGUUAGAAGCCUGGAGGAUUGGCUGGGGCUCAGCCUCUGGCCCGGGAAGAGAGUGGUGGAGGGGGACGAGGAGGAGGGAGAGGGGGGGAAGAGUGGAGAUGGAGAGGCUGCUGCAGGAGUGAGAGGGGGACAGGAUGAAGGAGAUUCCUCAGACGACUACUCCAGUUUAGACGGGAUUGACCUCAGCGAGAGAGCCAAGAACCUAGAGGAUGAUGAGAAAAAGGAGGCGUUGAAGAGGAAGAGUGGGAGCGAGGGAGGCCAGUAUAACAUGAAAGGAGAGAGAACUGAUGGAAGGAAGGAGGGUGGUGAAGAAGAGCGAACAGGGAAAAACUCCAGUGAGGGAGAUACUUGUGACCUCACAGCACUGUAAGGAAAGAGGGAGGAAGGGGUUAAGAGUGGGAUAAAAUAAAAUUGUUGAAGAUGUUAAUUUUGUGACUCAAUUCACUCUUCCUAUGGAGUAUAUUUUUCAUUUAAGCGUGUCAAUGUUAAUUUCAGACAAAUAGUUUUUUUUGGUAAUCCCUGUUACAUUUGUGUUUUAAUAAACUGGCUAAUAGAUUCCUGCUUGUAAUUUAUAUUACACAAUUCCCUAUUUCUGCUAAAAUAAGUUGAUGUUGAAAACAGUGUUCACGUGUAUUUGUUUGAUUUACAACUCUGCACCUACAUUCAUUUUUUUAAACAGAUAGAGAUUUGUCACUUUAAAGUAAAAGAUGUCCUGGACUAAAUGAUUCUGAAUUAUAAUUAAUUUGGUUGGAGGUAGGUGAUUGUGUGUAAUUUCUCUCACCUGUGGUAAGUUGCAGUUGCCUACUAGGUAAAAAUAUCCAUUCAAUCAGUUUACUAAAGAGAACACUGAACAUUCCGC